UCGGGUAAGUUCCGACCUGCACGAAUGGCGUAACGACUUCCCCGCUGUCUCCAACAUCGACUCAGCGAAAUUGAAUUGCCUGUCAAGAUGCAGGCUUCCCGCGGUUAGACGGAAAGACCCCGUGCACCUUUACUACAGCUUCGCACUGGCUUCAGGCACAGCAUGUGCAGGAUAGGUGGUAGGCUUCGAAGCAGGAACGCCAGUUCCUGUGGAGCCUCCCUUGAGAUACCACCCUUGCUCUGCUUGAAGUCUAACCGCGGCCCGUUAUCCGGGUCCGGGACCCUGCGUGGUGGGUAGUUUGACUGGGGCGGUCGCCUCCUAAAGAGUAACGGAGGCUCGCAAAGGUACCCUCAGCAUGGUUGGUAAUCAUGCGAAGAGCGUAUGAGUAUAAGGGUGCUUGACUGGGAGAUCGACAGAUCGAUCAGGUGCGAAAGCAGGCUUAAGUGAUCCGGUGGUUCCGCAUGGAAGGGCCAUCGCUCAAAGGAUAAAAGGUACUCCGGGGAUAACAGGCUGAUCUCCCCCAAGAGCUCAUAUCGACGGGGAGGUUUGGCACCUCGAUGUCGGCUCGUCACAUCCUGGGGCUGGAGAAGGUCCCAAGGGUUGGGCUGUUCGCCCAUUAAAGUGGCACGCGAGCUGGGUUCAGAACGUCGCAAGACAGUUCGGUCUCUAUCUGUUGUGAGCGUUGGAAAAUUGAGAGGACCUAACUUUAGUACGAGAGGACCGAGUUGGACAUACCUCUGGUGUAUCUGUUGUUGUGCCAAUGGCAGUGCAGAGUAGCUACGUAUGGAUGAGAUAAGCGCUGAAAGCAUCUAAGUGCGAAACUCACCUCAAGAUUAGUUUUCCAUUAAGAGUCGUAGAAGACUACUACGUUGAUAGGCUGCAGGUGUAAAGGCAGUAAUGUCAAAGCCGAGCAGUACUAAUUACUCGA
rnacentral:rRNA from 1 species